AUUGAACGCUGGCGGCAGGCCUAACACAUGCAAGUCGAGCGGAUGAAGGGAGCUUGCUCCUGGAUUCAGCGGCGGACGGGUGAGUAAUGCCUAGGAAUCUGCCUGGUAGUGGGGGAUAACGUCCGGAAACGGGCGCUAAUACCGCAUACGUCCUGAGGGAGAAAGUGGGGGAUCUUCGGACCUCACGCUAUCAGAUGAGCCUAGGUCGGAUUAGCUAGUUGGUGGGGUAAAGGCCUACCAAGGCGACGAUCCGUAACUGGUCUGAGAGGAUGAUCAGUCACACUGGAACUGAGACACGGUCCAGACUCCUACGGGAGGCAGCAGUGGGGAAUAUUGGACAAUGGGCGAAAGCCUGAUCCAGCCAUGCCGCGUGUGUGAAGAAGGUCUUCGGAUUGUAAAGCACUUUAAGUUGGGAGGAAGGGCAGUAAGUUGAUACCUUGCUGUUUUGACGUUACCAACAGAAUAAGCACCGGCUAUCUUCGUG
rnacentral:rRNA from 1 species